AUUGAACGCUGGCGGCAUGCUUUACACAUGCAAGUCGAACGGCAGCGCGGGCUUCGGCCUGGCGGCGAGUGGCGAACGGGUGAGUAAUGCAUCGGAACGUGCCCAGUAGUGGGGGAUAGCCCGGCGAAAGCCGGAUUAAUACCGCAUACGACCUGAGGGUGAAAGCGGGGGACCGAAAGGCCUCGCGCUAUUGUAUCGGCCGAUGUCGGAUUAGCUAGUUGGUGGGGUAAAGGCUUACCAAGGCGACGAUCCGUAGCUGGUCUGAGAGGACGACCAGCCACACUGGGACUGAGACACGGCCCAGACUCCUACGGGAGGCAGCAGUGGGGAAUGUUGGACAAUGGGGGCAACCCUGAUCCAGCCAUGCCGCGUGCGGGAAGAAGGCCUUCGGGUUGUAAACCGCUUUUGUUCGGGAAGAAAUCCUAUGGGCUAAUACCCCGGGGGGAUGACGGUACCGGAAGAAUAAGCACCGGCUAACUACGUG
rnacentral:rRNA from 1 species